rnacentral:lncRNA from 1 species
CUGGGCCUCCCCAAAUCGCACACCAACCCCCCCACCCUCCACCCACCCCUCAACAGGCCGCCUCCAGCCCCAGCCACAUCCCAGGCCACUUAGACCAAACUAUGUCUGGGUCCCGGCAAGCCAGGGGUGGAUGUGGAUGGAGCGUGCUCUGAGACAUCGAGGACUGCCUACACAAACUCCUCACAAGGCUCUGUGACCUCCUAUCAAAGGCCACACAUCACUGCGGAGUGGGGUGGGGCUUGAAUUUCCCGUGGAAGGUAUUUUGGAAGCUUCUUUAAAUCACGGGCAGUUUAGGAAGGAAGAAACUGCAGGGCACAAGAGGGAGACAGGAUUCUGAGGGGCAGGCAUGGAACUGAAACCACCUUUGCAAAAGUCAUAACUGAGAAUAUGAUGACAGUGAAGGAGGUCUGACCCUAACCCACUCCGCCUGGCUUCUAACCUCCAAGCUGCCCUUGCUCAUCCCUGGGCUUAGCCUAAACUAAUCUGGAGAGAAACAGUUUAUAGAUCAAGGCUGAACAAGCCCCCUUCCUACCUGAGGACCAGACUGCCUUUGCAGGACUAACAAAUUAGCCACAAGAUUAGAAAUUAUGGUUUAGGAGUCACGCGGCUGGAGGAUGCAAGAUUCUGACCCCGCCACCCCUAAAUUGCUCCCGGGGAUCACAGCACUACUGUAGAACCUAGGAUCAGAGUUUGAGAUACUUUACAGACCCUGUACUCAAUGGAUCAGCUGGCACCACCUAAAUCCACAAUCUUGCUCAUGUGGUCCUGUGGCCCCCACCGAGGAGCUGGGUUAGGGUUGGGAAGACAGCUUCGACUCCCCAAGACUUCAUCUCCAACCGGACCGGUCAGCGCUCCUGACUCACUGGCCGCCUACCCACCAUAUCAUCCUUCGAAACUCGGAUCCCCACGUUUUUGGGGAGAAGGAUUUGAGUAAUAAUAAAACUCCCGUCUCCCCCGCAGCCGGCUCUGCGUGAAUUACACUUUCCUUAUUGCGAUUCCCCUGCCCCGAUGCGACCAAGGGGCCCGCCCAGGAGCGCAGAGAAUCCAUUAAGGGGUCACAGGACCGGGCUCCCAGGGUGACUCCCUGGCCACCAAGUCCUCCAGCAGGUCACUCCUGGAUUCCGGCUGGACCCCCUGCCCAGGGAGGGGCCCAGGAGACGCGGAAAUCGGGUCCCCCGCGGGUGAAGGGGAGGUGGGAGCCCCAGAGGAGGGCGGGAAGGCUCGGCCGGGGACGUGCCCGAGGGGGAGGAGAGGGGCUCCCGUCCGGGUCCGGCGCUGCGGGUCUCAGGGUCCGCGUCCCGCCCACCCCGCGGGGGUCUGGGCUGCGGGCGGAGCCUCCUCCGGGACCUGCACCUGCGCCGGCCGCCGCCAGGGGCGCCGCUGAGCACCCGCCUCCGCCGCUUCCCCCUCCCCGCCGGGCGGGGCCGCGCGCCUCCCACCCGGGACCCACUUCGGAGUUCGCCCCCUUCGGGACUCGCCUCCGGGAGACCCCCGAGGGGGAGAGGGCGCUUCCUCCGCGUCCAUCGCCCUUGCCGCCCCUGGGCCUGGAUUGCCGACAGGCCGCGAGCGUGGCCUUGGGCCCAGGGUGUCCCGGACUCAGCACUGACGUUCCCGGAAAGAGCCCACGUUGAGUAGGAGCUGAGACCUGCAGGACACAGGAACUCCUCCCAGGGUCCUGGAUCCAGCUGCUGCUCACGGCAGGAGGCCCGAAACCAGAAGGCCUGAGCACUUGCCCCGUCCCCAAGAGAUGCACAGAGGCUGGAAGGGGCAGUGCAGGGGCUGACCAACCUGCUCAUGAAAGGAGGGUCCAGCUGGGCUUCCUGGGUCGAGUAGGGGUUCAGAAAGCUGUGAAACACUCAUUUCCUGCAUCAGGACUUACUUCGGUCCUGGAUGAAGAGUACUGAAGAUACAUGCCUAAAAUAUUCCUAACACCAGGAUUUGUGCAUGUGUUUCCUUCCCCAAGAAAGCUAUAAACAGCAAAAAUUCUGCUGUAAGCUUCCCUGUGUCCUCUCUCCCUCUCUUCCUUCCCCCUCCCCUAAAACUAAAAGGAAUGUUAAAAGACCCUUUUUCUGUGACCAGCGGACCUUAUCUAUGCUCCCAAUUCCAAUUCCUUGUGAACAUACUUUGUAAAGUCCUGUAAAAUCCUGUCUCUUUUGCCAUGCUGCUGCAAGGUCAUAAAGUAGAUAAAAUUAGAUAAAACCUAAGUUGCAAUUCUGUUUUUCCUCAAAAUCUAAGACAUGUCACAAAAUAAUUUACUGCCUUUGUUUCUCUCUCUGGUAACAUCUUCCCACCACAUGUAUUUCCCGCCUUAAAGAGAUUAAAAGGCAAUCACCCAAAACCAACAGUGGCUACCCUCUCCGGACCCCUUCCAUGCUGUGUAAGCUUUGUACUGUCACUCUGCUCAAUAAAACCUACAGUUUUUUUCUUC